GCCGGGAUAGCUCAGGGGUAGAGCAGCUGAUUCGUAAUCAGCAGGUCGCGGGUUCAAAUCCCGCUUCCGGCUCCU
rnacentral:tRNA from 1 species